UACAGAGGCCUCGAGCGUUGUUCGGAAUUACUGGGCGUAAAGAGAACGUAGGUGGUGACGUAAGUCAGAUGUGAAAGCCCUGGGCUUAACCUGGGAAGUGCAUUUGAUACUGCGUUGCUAGAGUACGAGAGAGGAAAGCGGAAUUCCAAGUGUAGGAGUGAAAUCCGUAGAUAUUUGGAGGAAUACCGAUGGCGAAGGCAGCUUUCUGGUUCGUAACUGACACUGAGGUUCGAAAGCGUGGGUAGCAAACAGG
rnacentral:rRNA from 1 species